rfam:Gossypium raimondii chromosome 12, whole genome shotgun sequence.
AAUCCAUGCAUAAGACAUUUUCAAAGUCAUUCUCUAAACCAUUCCCGAGCUUCAUAUAGCGUUUCAUCCUCUGAUUGUCGAAAAGAUGUGAUCCCAUUUCUAAGCUU